AGUGCGCCCCGACUUGAACGGAGCUCUUUUUCUUUUUUUAUGAAAAAAGAAAAAAGCGGGAGUGGAAGGCGGAUAAAGGC
rnacentral:misc_RNA from 1 species